AGAGUUUGAUCAUGGCUCAGGAUGAACCCUAGCGGCAGGCUUAACACAUGCAAGUCGAGGGGUAUAGUUCUUCGGAACUAGAGACCGGCGCACGGGUGCGUAACGCGUAUGCAAUCUACCUUUUACAGAGGGAUAGCCCAGAGAAAUUUGGAUUAAUACCUCAUAGUAUGUGAGAAUCGCAUGAUUUUCACAUUAAAGUUCCAACGGUAAAAGAUGAGCAUGCGUCCCAUUAGCUAGAUGGUAAGGUAACGGCUUACCAUGGCGACGAUGGGUAGGGGUCCUGAAAGGGAGAUCCCCCACACUGGUACUGAGACACGGACCAGACUCCUACGGGAGGCAGCAGUGAGGAAUAUUGGACAAUGGGCGCAAGCCUGAUCCAGCCAUGCCGCGUGCAGGAUGACGGUCCUAUGGAUUGUAAACUGCUUUUGUACAGGAAGAAACACUCCCUCGUGAGGGAGCUUGACGGUACUGUAAGAAUAAGGAUCGGCUAACUCCGUGCCAGCAGCCGCGGUAAUACGGAGGAUCCAAGCGUUAUCCGGAAUCAUUGGGUUUAAAGGGUCCGUAGGCGGUUUAAUAAGUCAGUGGUGAAAGCCCAUCGCUCAACGGUGGAACGGCCAUUGAUACUGUUAAACUUGAAUUAUUAGGAAGUAACUAGAAUAUGUAGUGUAGCGGUGAAAUGCUUAGAGAUUACAUGGAAUAC
rnacentral:rRNA from 1 species